GGAGACAGAGUUAGUAUAGGGAUAACUAAAAGAAUAAAUUCACACUACAAUUAUGAUGCCUCAGCCACGUCUACCUCCAUCUGGUGCUGUCUACAGAACAAAUCACAAACAGUACUCCCAGCGCACUUCGUCGCGGUGUGGCCGCCAUGGCCACUGCGGCUACAACGGAGCACGACCAAUCAAAUCAACUGACCUGUCUUUUCAAGUACUGGCAAUAGACUCGAGUAGCUCGGACGAUCGACUCGAAUAAGUUAACCGCCCCUUGGCACUUUGCAGCUUCUAUGUGGAGUAUCAGCUAUCAUUGAUCUCUCUAUUAGCAGUAAUUAACAUCUUUAACUUCCU
rnacentral:lncRNA from 1 species